AAUCACCUCCUCCCUAUAAAAGGGGUCCAAAAGUUGGAUGCCCGAGCAUAAGAAAAUCAAGAGAGAAAAUUAUUUUCUCUAAGCCGAGUCUCCUCUUUCUCUUCCCUAUUCUUCCCGCAUUCUUCUCUAUCUCAAGAGAGUCUGUGAGAUCUGAGAGGAAGCUACUUCAGCUAUCAAAGAAGAGUCUUCUGUAAGAGAACUAGCACCCCGAUGAAGACACCCACCUCUGAUUGGAAUGAAUCCUCGUGUGGAUACCUGUGGAGACCAGACACGUGCAUGGCUAGAAGAACCAUUUAGAUCUAUGAUCAUCGACUAU
rnacentral:lncRNA from 1 species